rnacentral:rRNA from 1 species
UACGUAGGGUGCAAGCGUUGUCCGGAAUUAUUGGGCGUAAAGAGCUCGUAGGCGGUCUGUCGCGUCGGCUGUGAAAUCCCGAGGCUCAACCUCGGGUCUGCAGUCGAUACGGGCAAACUAGAGUAUUGCAGGGGAGACUGGAAUUCCUGGUGUAGCGGUGAAAUGCGCAGAUAUCAGGAGGAACACCGGUGGCGAAGGCGGUUCUCUGGGCCUGUACUGACGCUGAGGAACGAAAGCGUGGGGAGCGAACAGG